rnacentral:rRNA from 1 species
CUUGCAAACUGGAGAUGGCGACCGGCGCACGGGUGAGUAACACGUAUCCAACCUGCCGAUAACUCGGGGAUAGCCUUUCGAAAGAAAGAUUAAUAUCCGAUGGUAUAUUAAAACCGCAUGGUUUUACUAUUAAAGAAUUUCGGUUAUCGAUGGGGAUGCGUUCCAUUAGUUUGUUGGCGGGGUAACGGCCCACCAAGACUACGAUGGAUAGGGGUUCUGAGAGGAAGGUUCCCCACAUUGGAACUGAGACACGGUCCAA